UUGCGGAAAUACCUCUACCAUUAAUCUACUGGAAAAAAUGAUUUCAGAAGAGAUCAGAAUAAAUCAAAUAUAACAAUUUAUUAUUAGUCAGGUAAACGUAUCUUUCCAAUUACAUAAUAAAACAAUAAGAAGCCAAUUCAAAAAUAAGAAAAUACAUAACAGUUGUUCAAAGAUGAAUCUAAGAACAAAAUGUUUACCUGGCUUCAAGAAGAAGAUACAUAGUAUGGAACAUAUUAAAUACCCUCCACACUACGGGCUGAUCUGGCUACAAAUCGCCCCGACUGAUUUGCAACUUACCCUUAAAUACUACCAGAACAAAAGGCCCAUAAAAAUUUAUUCUCUGCCCCAAAACAGAUUAGAUCUGUGUAUGGGGGAUAAGAAAGCCUCAGUAGGAGCUGUUCUCAUGCCCCAAAUUGUCACACCUGUAGAGCAAUGUUUAUCAGGUUUUGAAAGGAGACCGCCCCCACAACAGAGGUACAGAAUUCACUUAAGUUUCCAAUAUUUCCCAUAAUAUAAGUGACUGCUGUGAAAUUGAGACCAGUUUACCCAUCGCACUGAGACCUUUAAAAUGAUACCAAACAUGAAAGGGUUAAGAUAAUUAAUUCUUAAGAUACAGUAAAUAUUUAUGUAAGAGUAGCAACUUGAGUUCUUUCAGUGACCAGUACCAUGAGCCCAGGGGGGAAGGAUGGGUGAGUGGACCAAAUGGUCUUUCUCUCAGAUCUUCUUGUCUGAUUAGAGAGUUUAUUGUCUUGCGGCAUGACAUUUGCAUUGUAAGGGUUCCUGGGUUUUGGCUUCACGAGGAGUUAUUUUCAUAAAGGAAAUAAUUUAACUCCCUACACAUUUGAUUCUAACCUGAGGCGGUUGCCGGUUACUUUCGUUUUGUUGUUUAUGUUAUUUAGUUGCUUCUUUCCUGAGUCUUGAACUUGGUUACAUAUGUUUUCCUUAAAUCAUCCUGGCGAUCCAUUUUUUAAAAGACCCAGGGUUUGAAAACCACUGAUAUAGAGGAUGCUACGGCUAUGGAGGCCCCUCCUCAAGGCCCGAGGCCCGAGGCAAUCGCCUGCUCUGCCUAUAGCUAAUGCCGGACCUGAGGUUAAAUAAACACAGAUAAGCACAAACCGCAUUAUUACAUUCAGAAAUAAUACCAGUGAAUAAAGAUAAAUGUUUUAAUGUACAAACAAUAAACACAAUAGCUAGCCUAUAGGCUAUGUUGAAGGGUUUUCAGAACAAGACAAGAAUGAAACAUAUAAGUUGCUGAACAAGCCAAAAUUAAUUAAUUUAAAGCGAAACUGAAAACAAAUGCCGUUGUUCUCAUGCAGACUACCUCUCUCAUUCAGCACAAAUCCAAAUGUUUCCAUAUUCGGAAUCUAUUUGAUUGCUAAACUAUUAUGUAUUAUGUAAACCAGACUAUGUAGGUUACUUAACGCGCUUUCCACGCAAAAAAAAAUAAAUAAAUAUUAGUGGUGGGCAUAGAUUAAUUUUUUAAAUCUAGAUUAAUCUAGAUUAAUCUUGGAAUUAAUCUAGAUUAAUCUAGAUUAAAAUGGCUCAUUUGAAUUCUGCCAAGUAGAUCAGAAUAAGUUCACUACUAGUAGUAAACAACUAGCAGUCAUCAAGAAUUUAAUAUUGAUAAUAACAUUGAAGACAUUGUAUGAUUAUUCCUUAAAGAUAAGGUUUUAAUAGUUUUAAUAGUAGUAGCCUAUUACGUUCUGCACAAUGUCUUCAAGUGAAACCGAACUUUUAUUUUGACGGGUUGCCGUGAAUACCUUUACGUUUCUGUGUGUAUAUGAUAUGAGGAUAGUUUUUCUCAAAUGAAACGCUCGAAUGCUCAUGAAGUGACUCUCAGAGCAGUUCUGGAGAUGUUGUUCAUGUAUUUAUGUCCUCAUUUAGUGAGACGGCAGACCGCAAGCGUCACGCUUCUGCAUGAGUAAACAAACCCGCGCGUCUGCGCCAUACAUUAACACAGAGACACGCAGAAGUCAUAUUUAAAUAGACGUUUUGCGGCUUAAUAUUUACAAAUAGGAGUGGGAGUGAGCUUACUUGUGUGUGCGCUUACGUUUGUGUGUGUGUGUGUGCGAACCGGGGCGGAACUCCGCUGUGAGCGCGAUACAGAUCGCGCGACCAUGUAACGUAGAGACAGAAAUGACUUGCCGAUUUUCAUUGGGAAGCUUCUUAAAAAUAAAUUUUCCCUGAAGCAAACCCGGCGGCUUCAUAGCUGCAUCCAUGUUAGCACGCAUACACACAGGUUCGAAGACUCGUUCUCGCCCCCUACAGUGUAAUUCGGCUAGGUAUACAUCCGCGCUGAAAUAUCAGGUGAAAAUCAUCAUAGCUUGCGUACUAGUAUAGACCCAGCUCCCAACCGAACUUUGAGAAUAGAUUAACGGCGAUAUUUUUUUUAUCGCCCGAUAAGAGUCUCACGUUAACGCAGCACGUUAACGCCGAUAACGGCCCACCACUAAUAAAUAUAUAUAUAUAUUAGGCUUUCCUGUAGCUCAAAUAGUAGAGCAUGGCGCUAGCAACGCCAAGAUCAUGGGUUCGAUUCCCAGGGAAAGCAAGAGCUGAUCAAAUGUAAAAACUGUAACUUGAAUGCAAUGUAAGUCGCUUUGGAUAAAAGCGUCUGCUAAAUGCAUAAAUGUAAAUAUAUAUGAUACUAAAAAUGCGUUAGAACACGUUCAUCUCGAAGACGAGUUUGUUCAGAAUCAGCUACAUAUAGCAGGUCGGCUGACUCGAUUUCCUUCUCAUACAUUCCCGUAGCUUCAGUGUAUUUCUCCGUUGAAGCUGAGCGUCCAUUGACUUCAGUGGGGCUGCUUUGAACAGUUUUUUUCAGUGCCUCGAAACUAGAUGGUCAUUGGAUAAAUGCUGUGAUUAUGUCCCGCCCACGGACGCUCAGCGUCUCUGGAGGUGAAUGGAGGAGUGGGCGUGCCUGGACGCUGGGCUUCUGCGUGAUGAUUGGAGGGUCUGUAUCUCCUUUUGAUUGACAGCGAUUGUGUACAAUAAAAAGCCGCUGACUCUGAAGCUAUUCGAGCUCAGUCCCAUCGCGGCUUUGCACUUGGUUCUUAUCAAUCAUUAUAUAUAUUUUUUUAUUUAUUUAUAAUAUUAUGUUUUAAUAUAUAUGCUGCUAACUCGGAAAUUUCAAGAUAUGCGAGCAAAAAAUGCUCCUGACACUUAGGCAAUACGACAUGAGCAAGAGUGCUGUUUUUGUUUUGUUUCUGUGUUUGACCCAAAUCCGCGUUGAUUUGAGCGAAACACUGAUUCACUGAGCCACUCAUAAAAACAGUCAUUUGAUUCAUUCCUGAAGGAUUCAGCCGUUUUGAAAGAAUCAUUUGAAUGACUCAGUGAUUCAAUAACGAACUUCUGCCACCUGCUGGCCGUUUUUAAGUUUCCUGUCUAAAAGUAGGCAUAUUACAUUAUUUUACAACAUAUUUCUAUAUUCAGAAUUUAGUAUUUAAAACAUUAAUCUCAUAACAUUAUUUAUGCAAUUAUAAAUACGGUCUAAAUGAAUAAAUGCCACAUCUAAAUGUCACUUCAUGCAGCUUCUGUGCAGUGCUGAGAUGAGUUUUGUUUAGAUCAUUUCAUGGAUAACAAUAGCCAGUCAUUCAUUCACAUUAAUUAAGUAUUCAGAGAAUAAUAUUGUCUGUUUUCACUUACAUCUAUUUAUUUAUUAAAUUUUGAUUCAUUUUGUAGAAUUGAAUUAUAAAUUAAGCUGGUAUAGUAUCGUAAGACAUUUUUAUGGUAUCAUGACAACCCUAUUAUACACCACAUUCCUUGUUUCAGUUUAACCUAAUUCCCACAUUUCCUCCGUCGAGUUUAAUAUCUUUUUUUUUAGAUUGUUUGUUCAUUCAUUCAUUCAUAAAGCAGGCUAGGCUAGCAUCACUGGAAAAGACGCCUAGUUGGUACCAAAGGGUCACAGAGCAUUUUCUUGAAAAGGAACGUAGGGCAGGAUUUACGUGUAAAUAAAUGGACAAUUUUUAUGAUGUAGGCCGAAAAUGAGCUUCCCCUCUUUGAAAGACUAUAUAUAUAUAUAAAUCCAGUGUAGCUGUUUGGUGGACUAUAUAUUAUCCUGAUAAUGAACAGGCUGCAAUGUUUUCAAUGCUGUAUGUGUGUGCAUGAGGCGCCUGUGUUCAACAACAACAACAAAAAAUACUCCAUUUUUGGUCAUACAGAUCAUUCGAAACUGCAGUGUGUUUAAUUUAAUUUCUGCCAUCUCGGUUUCCUUUCCGUGAACUUGUUUAUAGAGUGCCGCGCCACACAAAAAUGAACCAAUCUCAGAAGCAAAUGGGCCACUAGUCACUAUGUCUUUUUCUUUUUUUUUAUCUGUUAAUUAUUUAAGUCAAAUAUAUUUCUCACAUUCAUUCCUUUUAUAUAGACUAUGAUUUAAUAAAAACAGAUUUUGUUAUAUUUAGUUAAACUAAAUUUCUGUUGCUUAUCUGCGCUCGUCUGCAGCAUUCUUUCUUUUCUCUCUCAGUUAGCUUAGUGUUAGUGGCACCAGUCCAGGUGUUUCUUCAGUUACUCGUGCUAUUUCGCCAUGUUGAGGGUUCGGUGUAGUACAUAUAUUGCACUUGACUUUUCUCUGAUGAACUGAAAAUAACGGGAGUAUGUCUAUCUCACAAAUGUAGAAUCCGUCUCUGCAGUCACCUCAAUUUCAAUUUCAAUUUAUUUAUAAAGCACCACUAAACACAACUACCAUUGACCAGUGUGCUGUACAAAGUAAGUAACCACAAACAGAAUUAAAACAAAGACAAGGUCACAAAUAAAACUGCAAGACACAGGGCAGAGCAAAUUCAAAUCACGAAUAAUAAGCCAGAUCAAAUAAAAACGUUUUUAACCUGGAUUUAAAAAUGGGUAGUGUAGGGGCGGUUCUGAUUUCUGUAGGAAGACUAUUCCAAAGUCUCGGAGCAGCUACGGCGAAUGCUCGAUAACCCUUAGACUUGAGUCUGGUUCUAGGAAUCACUACACUGUAAAAAAUCCAACUUGCAAAUUGUUAACUCAAUUUAGAAUUGUAAGUCAAGUGGACACAUUUUUGAACACAGUGUUGAGUUAACUUAUAAAAACUAUUUAAAUGCAUGUUGAUUACUACUUUGUCCAUUGAAUAUAAACAAUUAAGUUGAGAAAACGUAAUGUUUUGAUUUAUAAUUUCGACCGUUUAACUUCCUGUCGUUGCGCAUGCGCUGUCUGUCUUGGCACGGGGUUUCCCUCUUCAAUCACGCUGACAAGGGACUCGGGAGUGGAUUUCGUCUGUUAAGACUAGAGGUUUGGAAUGCAGUGUAAGCUUUGCAAAUUUGCACACAAUAGCAGAGAGGUCCUUUUGAAGCACUACAGGUUUCACCAUUAUCAAGGACGAUCCUGGCAGCAACCUUGCUUGUAUACUGACUGCAUCUGCACUUUCAAAACUGUAGGUAUCUGCUGAGUUCUACCGGAUUACUCAAACAAACCUGAAGAGUACCUUUUUCUCAUCUUUGGAUGAAUACGCAUCACCGAUGAUCAAGCUGUACAGAGCCCGUGGUGGAGCAUAUGGAGAGGAAAUGAAAACACUCCUAGACCAACUUGAUAAUCAAGACACAGAGCCAGAAGAAGAUUACACAAAGGGGAUGAAGAUGGGGAUCUUAAGCAUCGUCAAAGACAAUGUAUUCACCAUCCAUUCCAGCCCAAAUGUAAGGUGUCUGUCUGUUGUUCUAGAGGAGCUAGUUGUGCCUUCCCACUGCUGUUGCUCUCCUCUUUGGCUUGAUUUAUUGCCUGAACAUGAACUAUCCCAAAGAGCUGAAAUACACUUUUGAAACCAUUCAAAAGGUGUUUAUUGGCCUUGACCCCCAGUGCUCACCAAGGGUCCAGUCAUUCAAAAACAAAGUGCUAAUGUCUAAGUAGCUACAGUCAAUAAGCAAGGCAAGCACUCAUUUGUUCUUAGUUACAGUAACAAUUGUUCCUUAACAGUACAACAUACAAGAAAGCUUUGAGUUUUAAUGUGAGGUCAAAUGUUGUUUUAACAGGUGGCUACUUGAUUGCUUUAACACGUUUGUUGCAUGGAUGUAAGACAAAUUUUAAAAAUACCAUGCAAGGUCUUGUUUAUUGCUGCAGUAUUUAAUUAUUGUUACUCUAGCACUUUAAGUAUAAUCUUAUUACUCCAGCACUUUAAAAUAAAUCAUGUUGUACAAUGCCAGCACUUUAAAAGCAUUACAAGAUUAGUGGAUAGGGUUUUUUCUUUUUUUGCAACAUAUGGUGAUUAUUUGAGUAUACUUCACAUUUGAAAUUUCUGUACCUUAUGCUGAAGUAUCAAUAAAGAUUUUCUUCAAUGUUGACAAAGUCUUGCAUU